UACGAAGGGGGCUAGCGUUGCUCGGAAUCACUGGGCGUAAAGCGCACGUAGGCGGACUCUUAAGUCGGGGGUGAAAUCCUGGAGCUCAACUCCAGAACUGCCUUCGAUACUGAGAGUCUUGAGUCCGGGGGAGGUGAGUGGAACUGCGAGUGUAGAGGUGAAAUUCGUAGAUAUUCGCAAGAACACCAGUGGCGAAGGCGGCUCACUGGCCCGGUACUGACGCUGAGGUGCGAAAGCGUGGGGAGCAAACAGG
rnacentral:rRNA from 1 species